GGAGCUGGAAAGGUGGAGGCGGAAGUGACUGAUCAAUUCAGGGGCGUGGGGUUCGUUUAGGUUUUGCCCUGUGUAUGACCUCGUUUGGAGCCAUGAAACCAGGUCUGUGAAAUUUAGUGUCUAUUUUCUACCAUAACACAUGUUAAUUUGGACUAACCACAUUUCGAGUGCUCAGUAGCCACAUGUGGCUAGCGACUACUAUCUUGAGCAAUGCAACGAUAAGUCUGCACUUACGUUCAAAAAGACUUAAAGCAGGGAUCGACAACCCCCAGGCCACAGACUGGUAUGGAUCCAUGGCCUAUUAAGAACCGUGCCACACAGCAGGAGGUCACCAUGUGUGAUGACUACAUCCAAAGAGAGUGAGUGGCUUGAGACAUUGGUAGUAUGUGUAUCUGAUCAUAUCAAUAUGUUAAAAUGACAUUCAAAGUAUGAUCUACCUCAGAAUAAUCUAGCCUCAAGCUUUAUUCUAGGAAGGUAAUUCUGAAGAUACCUAUCUUCUUGAGAGUGAAAUUUUAUGGAAUCCUAGAUUUCUCAUACCUAGGAAUAACAAUACAAGGGACAGAAUAGUUAGCAGUGUUCCUGUUGAAAGGUCCAAGUAUCUCCCUAGGCACAGAAAACACCCAA
rnacentral:antisense_RNA from 1 species